UGAGAUAAAAUGAUCUUGCCUAACUUU
rnacentral:piRNA from 1 species